rnacentral:misc_RNA from 1 species
GGGAGUUAAUACGAGUCUGGUGG